UACGAAGGGGGCUAGCGUUGCUCGGAAUCACUGGGCGUAAAGCGCACGUAGGCGGCUUCUUAAGUCAGGGGUGAAAUCCUGGAGCUCAACUCCAGAACUGCCUUUGAUACUGAGGAGCUUGAGUCCGGGAGAGGUGAGUGGAACUGCGAGUGUAGAGGUGAAAUUCGUAGAUAUUCGCAAGAACACCAGUGGCGAAGGCGGCUCACUGGCCCGGUACUGACGCUGAGGUGCGAAAGCGUGGGGAGCAAACGGG
rnacentral:rRNA from 1 species